rnacentral:rRNA from 1 species
UACAGAGGUCUCGAGCGUUAGGCGGAAUCACUGGGCUUAAAGCGUGUGUAGGUGGAUCGUUAAGUACCUUGUGAAAUCCCACGGCUCACCCGUGGAACCGCUGGGCAUACUGGCGAUCUUGGGCCGUUCAGGGGCGACUGGAACAAGCGGUGGAGCGGUGAAAUGCGUAGAUAUCGCUUGGAACGCCGAAGGUGAAAACAGGUCGCUGGGGACGCGCCGACGCUGAGACACGAAAGCCAGGGGAGCAAACGGG